CCUACGGGAGGCAGCAGUGAGGAAUAUUGGUCAAUGGACGAGAGUCUGAACCAGCCAAGUAGCGUGAAGGAUGACUGCCCUAUGGGUUGUAAACUUCUUUUAUAUGGGAAUAAAAUGUUCCACGUGUGGGAUUUUGUAUGUACCAUAUGAAUAAGGAUCGGCUAACUCCGUGCCAGCAGCCGCGGUAAUACGGAGGAUCCGAGCGUUAUCCGGAUUUAUUGGGUUUAAAGGGAGAGUAGGUGGAUUGUUAAGUCAGUUGUGAAAGUUUGCUGCUCAACCGUAAAAUUGCAGUUGCAACUGGCAGUCUUGAGUACAGUAGAGGUGGGCGGAAUUCGUGGUGUAGCGGUGAAAUGCUUAGAUAUCACGAAGAACUCCGAUUGCGAAGGCAGUUCACUGGACUGCAACUGACACUGAGGCUCGAAAGUGUGGGUAUCAAACAGGAUUAGAUACCCUGUAGUC
rnacentral:rRNA from 1 species